rfam:Schistosoma margrebowiei strain Zambia genome assembly, scaffold: SMRZ_contig0008768
GCACUGCUGAGGAGUCCCACAAUAGGACGAAACGGUCAUCCAGUAA